rnacentral:rRNA from 1 species
AUGCUGCAACACCUGGAUCUCGAAGAUGACGAGCUUGAUGAUGUGGUCGUAGGGGAGGAAGAGGUGAAGAAGUAUGAAGCGGACGCUAGGUGGCUGGCGAUUGCGAAGGUGAACACGACCCGCACUUUCAGUUCGUCGUCGAUGUUCGAGUGCAUGAAGUCAAUCUGGUCACUUGCACACGUCCCCAAGUAUAGGGAGGCGGGCAAAAACUUAUUUAUCUUCCAGAUGUUCUGUCUUGGCGAUUGGAAGAAGGUGGUGCACAGUGGUCCAUGGCUGUUCAGGGGGAUGGGGAUGCUGAUUGAGGACUAUGAUGGCAAGAAGGAACCUACAUCCUUUGAAUUCGAUGGAUUAUAUGUGUGGGCUCAGAUCCAUAAUAUACCGAAACUAUAUCGCAAAACAGAGGUCGUUGAUCAACUAGCCCGUCGCAUCGGGCGGGUGAAAGAAAUCCAGCUAGCUCCUUGGCUGUUCUAUGAGGGAGAUUAUGUUAGGGUUCGGGCAAAGGUUCUUGUCAACAAACCCUUGACACGGGUCACACCUCUGAACAUUGUGGGUGAGGGCAGAUUGCGGCUUCCGUUCAAAUAUGAGAAGAUCCCUUAUUUCUGUAAGGUUUGUGGACUCAUGGGUCAUAACCACGAGGAGUGUGGUGAUGGUGUCUGGGAGGAGAAACACAAGCAGUGGGGCAGUUGGAUGCUGGCACAAAGAAGGGAAAUCGCACCAGAGCAGCAAGGCGGCUGGGCUACUCGCGGAGGCCGAUCUGGCGGGAGGGGUCGAGGCCGGUCUGGCCGGGGCGCCCAAGCUCCCCAACAGCGCUCGCCGCUGCAUAAGCGGUCAUCUCAAGAAGCGGGUUUUGACAAUACAUAG